CCCUACUUGUCGGAGUGCCAUUUGGCUGAGAUCGCAUAAUUAAAUGCGGGAUCCGCAGAACCUGAUCGGGCUAAUACCCGCGUAGGAAACAAGAAAGUAUCUAUU
rnacentral:ncRNA from 2 species